rnacentral:rRNA from 1 species
UACGUAGGCAGCAAGCGUUGUUCGGAAUUACUGGGCGUAAAGAGUGCGUAGGCGGUUCCGCAAGUUUGUCGUGAAAUCUCCCGGCUUAACUGGGAGGGUGCGGCGAAGACUGCGGGGCUGGAGUGUGGGAGAGGUAAGCGGAAUUCCUGGUGUAGCGGUGAAAUGCGUAGAUAUCAGGAGGAACACCGGCGGUGUAGACGGCUUACUGGACCAUGACUGACGCUGAGGCACGAAAGCGUGGGGAGCAAACGGG